rnacentral:rRNA from 1 species
UACGUAGGGACCGAGCGUUGUCCGGAAUCAUUGGGCGUAAAGAGCGUGUAGGCGGCCACUUAAGUCCUGCGUGAAAUCUUGCGGCUCAACCGCAAGCGGUCGUGGGAAACUGGGUGGCUAGAGUGCGGGAGAGGAGAGUGGAAUUCCGCGUGUAGUGGUGAAAUGCGUAGAGAUGCGGAGGAACACCAGUGGCGAAAGCGACUUUCUGGUCCUUAACUGACGCUGAGGCGCGAAAGCAUGGGGAGCGAACGGG